rnacentral:lncRNA from 1 species
CCAUUUAACCUGACACCCUAAGCUCAAGUCUUAAUUUUGCUAUCGGCCCUCUGCUUGGCAAUGGUCGAAUUUGAGUUUUUUCUCUAUGAGUUUGGCCCUCUGCUAGGCAAUGGUCAAAUCCAGGUUUUAGUUUUGCUAUCGGCCCUCUACUUGGUGAUGGUCGAAUCCAGUUUUUCUUUCUGAGAUAUUAACCCCCUGCUAGGCAAGUGUUGAACUCUCUUUGUUGCAUCAUGGUACGCUUCAUUGGUUUUUGUUAUCAUAUCUACUUGGAUUGGUUUUUUUCUUUUUCCUCUUUCUCCUUUGGAACCCAGACGAAAUUAGUGUUUCUAUCUUUACUUAGCUUUUACUCAGAUAAUAUGAAAAUAUCAAAUUUUCAUAUUAUCCAGUAAUAUCUAAGUAAAGAGGGGCAGCUGUCAACACUAAAUUUCGUCCAGAUGGCUAAAUAAUAGAGCUUGUCUUUUUUACUUUUAUCUUAUUUUUAUUCUUUUUUACCAUUUUUUUUAGUCUUUUAAAAAAGAAAAAAAAAAAAGAAAAAAAAGAAAAUAAAAAUAAUUGCAAACAAAAAAAAAGGAAAAAUAAAAGGAAAAAGGAAAAGAAAAAAAGAAAAAAUGAAAAAAAGAAAAAAAACAAAAGGAAAAAAGAAGGAAGGAAAAAAGGAAAAAAGAGGGGUGCAC